AUUGAACGCUGGCGGCAUGCUUUACACAUGCAAGUCGAACGGCAGCGCGGGCUUCGGCCUGGCGGCGAGUGGCGAACGGGUGAGUAAUGCAUCGGAACGUGCCCAGUAGUGGGGGAUAGCCCGGCGAAAGCCGGAUUAAUACCGCAUACGACCUGAGGGUGAAAGCGGGGGACCGAAAGGCCUCGCGCUAUUGGAGCGGCCGAUGUCGGAUUAGCUAGUUGGUGGGGUAAAGGCUUACCAAGGCGACGAUCCGUAGCUGGUCUGAGAGGACGACCAGCCACACUGGGACUGAGACACGGCCCAGACUCCUACGGGAGGCAGCAGUGGGGAAUUUUGGACAAUGGGGGCAACCCUGAUCCAGCCAUGCCGCGUGCGGGAAGAAGGCCUUCGGGUUGUAAACCGCUUUUGUUCGGGAAGAAAUCCUCUGGGCUAAUACCCCGGGGGGAUGACGGUACCGGAUGAAUAAGCACCGGCUAACUACGUG
rnacentral:rRNA from 1 species